rnacentral:tRNA from 1 species
UCUCUUGUGACUCAGCUGGUAAAGAAUCUGCCUGCAAUGCAGGAGACCUGGGUUUGAUUCCUGGCUUGGGAA